GAUGAACGCUGGCGGCGUGCCUAAUACAUGCAAGUCGAGCGAACAGACGAGGAGCUUGCUCCUCUGACGUUAGCGGCGGACGGGUGAGUAACACGUGGAUAACCUACCUAUAAGACUGGGAUAACUUCGGGAAACCGGAGCUAAUACCGGAUAAUAUAUUGAGCCGCAUGGUUCAAUAGUGAAAGACGGUUUUGCUGUCACUUAUAGAUGGAUCCGCGCCGCAUUAGCUAGUUGGUAAGGUAGCGGCUUACCAAGGCAACGAUGCGUAGCCGACCUGAGAGGGUGAUCGGCCACACUGGAACUGAGACACGGUCCAGACUCCUACGGGAGGCAGCAGUAGGGAAUCUUCCGCAAUGGGCGAAAGCCUGACGGAGCAACGCCGCGUGAGUGAUGAAGGUCUUCGGAUCGUAAAACUCUGUUAUUAGGGAAGAACAAAUGUGUAAGUAACUAUGCACGUCUUGACGGUACCUAAUCAGAAAGCCACGGCUAACUACGUG
rnacentral:rRNA from 1 species